rnacentral:lncRNA from 1 species
CUCAAAUUCAACAAUUUGCACUGGGUUCCCCCCGCCAUGAAUAUAAUGUAUUUCCAUAAUUCAAGUCAUACUCAGCUCUAUUCUGUGGUUUCAAGGAGCUCAUACAUUGCAGAUUUAUUUCCCAGGUUGUGAAGCGGUCCCCUAUGGCAAGUGCGAAAUGCCUUUGAUGUGGUGGGUGCAGCAUCCCGGCCGACAGACACACUUAAUCCACCAGGUCUUUGAUUUCAUAGUUUGGUUGAGAGAGUUAGAUUGUUAUGAAGAUGGCAUGCCACAGGGGUAUGUGGU